rnacentral:tRNA from 1 species
GCGGGAGUAGCUCAGUGGUAGAGCAUCUGCUUCCCAAGCAGAGGGCCGAGGGUUCGAACCCCUUCUCCCGCUCCA